rnacentral:rRNA from 1 species
CCUACGGGUGGCAGCAGUGAGGAAUAUUGGUCAAUGGCCGGGAGGCUGAACCAGCCAAGUCGCGUGAGGGAAGACGGCCCUACGGGUUGUAAACCUCUUUUGUCAGGGAGCAAGGUGCAGGUCGGGACCUGCUGUGAGAGUCCCUGAAGACAAAGCAUCGGCUAACUCCGUGCCAGCAGCCGCGGUAAUACGGAGGAUCCGAGCGUUAUCCGGAUUUAUUGGGUUUAAAGGGAGCGUAGGCGGGUUGUUAAGUCAGUUGUGAAAGUUUGCGGCUCAACCGUAAAAUUGCAGUUGAUACUGGCAUCCUUGAGUACAGUAGAGGUAGGCGGAAUUCGUGGUGUAGCGGUGAAAUGCUUAGAUAUCACGAAGAACUCCGAUUGCGAAGGCAGCCUGCUGGACUGUAACUGACGCUGAUGCUCGAAAGUGUGGGUAUCAAACAGGAUUAGAUACCCUUGUAGUC